rnacentral:lncRNA from 1 species
UUCCCAAGACAGGUUUAUAUGUGUAUGAUCUUCAGGCUUUGCCUAUCCAGGUGGGCUUACUUUCCAAAUGUACAAAGUAUGAUUGAGUUAUUAAGCUCUAAAUGUUUCAAUGAAAUGCAAAUUGUUUAUUUAAUGAAAUGAAAACUGUUUAUCCAAUAAAAUGUUUAUGUGCACUCUGCUCUGUUUAAGGCUCGCAACAAUGAAUCGAUCGAGGUUCUCUUAUGGCCUAACACGUUAUUUGAGAAUUGUGUACACUUGUUAGCUGACUCGGUGGGUUGAUCUCCAUCGGGCACUAAUUCAUGUAAGAGGCGUUAUAAGGGUGCUUGGCUGGAUGUGUUCCGGAGCAUAUAAUGUAAGGGCCUGCCUGGGUAGCGUCCCGAGGUCAAUUCAACUUGUCUGAGUUACGUCCUCAGGGCAAGUGCAAUGGGAGAAAUGGAUCCGUCGGUGGCUAAAAGGUCCGGGAUCACAGCGAGUAACAGAAAGGGAGUGUGACAUGUGCGCACAAAUGAAAGAAAUGUUUUAACAUGCUUAGAAGUUAUUUCAAUUUAAAACCUUCUAAGUCAUGUCAAGUAUGAUUGGAUAAACUGUGUUUACGAAAAUAUGAAAUAUUUAUGAAAAUGCAUGCCCACUAAGUACAUUAGUACUUAGCCCAAAAAUACUUUCAAAUGUUUUCAGGUUGGCUGGCCGGUGCUGACGGGACGGAGCUGAGGCUAGGGUUAAAUUCCUAUGUUAGACUUCCGCUGUAGCAAUUACUCAUAUCAGUCUUUUGUUUUCCCAACUUAAGAUCUUCAUGUUAAAUUUCAAAUGAUAUACCUGACCGAGCUUAGACUCUUCACUACUAAAUUUAUGCCAAUGAAUGUCGGUUGUCAGAAGCAUGAAACAAAACUUGUGAUCCAAAGGGGCAUAGCUCGACUUUCUAUCCUAUUUCGGGUUUUUACAAGGUAUUUCCCUUGUUUAUUUCUAUGAAUUAUUUAUACCUCGAUUAUAUUUAUUCUUUCAAGAAUUGGGGUGUGACAGAAUGGUAUCAGAGCAUAAGUUUUCUUUCAUGACUCUGAUAACCAUAAGCUUUUGAUGUCGAGUCUAGAAUAGUAUCUCUAGACUUCUAAGAAUGUCAGUAGCCCUCAGCUCGCCGUCACACUGCCGCAACUAAGGUACGAUAAUAGUUUCAAAAAUAUACAUAUAUGUAUUUCAGAUGUUAUGAAAGUUUUCAAGAAAAUGUGCGCCUUAUGUUUACAAUGCUAUGUGAAUGUUUUUUGUCGUGUUUGGGACUACCCGAACCCAUAACGACUCAAUGAAUGUAUUUCGUGUUUGGGACAACCCGAGCCCUUAACGAAUCAAUGUAUGUAUGUAUGUAUGGUCGAGUUAGAUUCCUUGAAUCUUUCCGGCAUAAGCAAAGUUUUUCAUGAAAGGGACAUUUAAUGUCCAUAUGACUCAAAAUUUCAAAGAAAGCAAAUAUAUGUAUGUAUGUAUGUAUGAAUGAAUGAUGAGAAAGCUUUAUGUUAUCAUUUUAGGUUCACUGCCUAUAUGAUUAGAAUGAUGAGUUCUUUUACAAACCGUUUGAGAACCACCCAAUAAUGCCUUAUGAAUGUUAGUCGUGACAGCACCACUAGAACGGCAUAGAAUGGACUUAUAUGGUACCAAUGAUUAUGAUUGAAGUACUUAGAAGUAAGUGCUUUAAGUUAAAAGUUGACUUAGAGCUUUAUAAAGAGAUAAGAAGUUGACAUGAAUGGGGGCGAAGCUCCCAUUUGACUGAGUGACUCGCCGUGCUGGGUCUGGCCAGCCCACAUGACUAUGAUCUCGGUGAUUGUCAAUUUAGUCAUCCCAAUGUAUAGACUCUCACUAUGUAGUUGUCACAAUAAGAUUUUGCUUCCAUCACGAUAAGCAUAAUAUGAUUAGAAUGAGUUCGUUUGUCACCAGUUCUCGAGACUAUAGACAUGGUGUUCUCACAAUUAGAAAGAUGCGAUAACAAUCAAGCUAUGUAGCCGCACUGAUAGUGAAGUCUAGUAUCCCAAACUAGAUUACCCAGAUAUGCAAUUUCGAGGACGAAAUUUUUAUAACGAGGGAGGAAUGUAACACCCCGCUUUUUCCUAGUUAAAUUUAGAGUAAUUUUGAACUUAGAAGUCAGGAUGAUUCACGCCGGAUAUAAAGAAAAUGAAUUUAUUUUAAUUCCAACAAAAGUGUUUAAAAAAAAAAAACAUUUGUAAAUUUAGUUAUUAAAUUUAUGUGCGUCGCAUAUUUAUUUAAUUUAGCAUUCAAAGCAUUAUCACGAGCUUUUAGUCAUCAAACCCUGAAGAAUUAUUACAGUUUUCAUAGUACAACCCGAAAGAUUUUUUUUAUUAUUAUUUUAUUUUAUUCCUCCCACCUACUCCCCCACUUACUCCCACACCCACCUACUCCCCCACUUACUCCCACACCCACUACUCCACGCUAUGCCCCUUUAAUUUUUAUAUCAAAACACUCUCUGCGAAAUCAAUCUGCGAAAUCAAUCCCAUCCUCCACCUUCCCUCCCAUCAUGAACAGCAUACCUGCGAGACUGUCAUCACAACUUUCCUCCUCUAAGUUAUACUUCAAUAUCAGAUUUCACAAUUUCCAUGAUUCAUUUUUACUCUCUCUCUCUUUAUCGUUCCACGCAAAUCAACCUUGCAAGAUUAAGAACAGCUGCACAUAUUCAAGCCACCAACCCAGCAGAUCCUUAAAAAAAAAAGGUUUUAUUUUUAACUCAUUUAUGUUAUGUAAAUUCUCAUUUUGUAUCAAUAUCUCGAAAACAAACCCAUUCUUGAGUAUCACAUUCUGAAAAUUUCAAACUUCACAAAACAAAGAAUCACAUGCAUAUAUAUGUUCACUGACCUUUAUUAUAACAAGCAUUUAUAUGAAUAUACAUAUGUACACUAAGAGUUUUUUUUAAAUAAAUGAACUUUGGGGUCUUGUUGUCGUCUGUUGUAUGAGUGUGUAGCGGCGUCGGGAGACGGACGAGGGGUGGUGUUUGGGCGUGAGCUCAUGGUUGGUGUGUGCGUGAGAUGAGAGGGAGAGAGAUGAAAUGGGGGUUGACGGCGGCUGGACAGCGGGGCUGUUUAGCGGAGGGAGGCAGGGCACGGCGGCGGUGCCGCUGCUGCCCGGCCACGGCUGGAGAGAGAGAGGUGGUGUGGUCUUGUCUGGGCUGGGGCCGCGGAGGGUUGAGCGGAGGACGGCGGCAGCCGUGGGUUGCUGUCGCCGGGAAAUUGAGGGAGGGAGACCGAGGGAAGCAGCGGCUGCUGCUGCUGCUUCUGUCGGCCGGUUGAGUGAAGGGAAUGGAGCUCCGGCGGCGGUGAAACUUCGAGAGGAAAGAGGGACGAGCAGAUCUUGGAGCAGUCGAGAGAGUGAUUCGACUGAAGGUGGGCGGUGGUGACCGAGGUUUGAGAGAGUUCGGAGGGAGAUGGGAGAUUGCCGGCAGCUGUUGUCGCUGGAGAAGGGGGCGCGGCCGCGGCUUGGCGGCGGCAGGGGGAGACCGAGGGGUUGGGCGUGAGUCCGAGAGAGAGAGGGAGACGAGCAGUGAAGGGGGAGGGGAUGAGUGACUGAAAUGUGAGUGUUUGUGCGUGUGUUGCGGCUGAUGGGGGGAAGAAGGCUAGGUGUUGGGCUAGGGUGAGGGUUGGGCUUUGGGGUUGGGUUUGAAAUUUCGAAUUGGGCUGAGUAUUUGGGCCGAGAUUUUAUUUAUUUUUGUCUCAGCUGGGCUUUUAAUUAUUAAAUCUAAUGGACCUUUAUUAAUUUAUUUAAUUGGACUGUGCAGUUUCUUUAUUUAAAAUGGACUACACUAUUUUAAUUAAUUAGACUAAUUAAGUUUGAUUAAUUAUUUUUAAUUUGCAUAAUAAUAUUAUAUUAUUAUUAUGUGCAUAUUUUAAGUAAAUUACUUAUUAUAUGAUAAACAUGACAUGAAAUUGCAUUAUAUUUUUGCAAUAAGAGUAUUUAAGAUUUAAUUGGUUUUAUUUAUAAUUCCAAUUAUUAAAGAAAGUUGAGUAAGAAUAUUGUUGGUGUUCUUAACUCAAGAGAAAUGUUUUCAAUUAUUUAUUCAUUAAAUUUUAGAAAACCCGGCUAAGUGAAUCAUAGAAUAUUAAGCACUCUCACCAUGACUUAAGAUUAGCUUCACGAGACCUAUUAAGAAUAGAAUUUCUUGUAGGCUUCGUGACCAGGGGGAUUAGCGCUGCUUUCCCAAGACAGGUUUAUAUGUGAUUAUGAUCUUCAGGCUUUGCCUAACCAGGUGGGCUUACUUUCCAAAUGUACAAAGUAUGAUUGAGUUAUUAAGCUCUAAAUGUUUCAAUGAAAUGCAAAUUGUUUAUUUAAUGUAAUGAAAACUGUUUAUCCAAUAAAAUGUUUUUGUGCACUCUGCUCUGUUUAAGGCUCGCAAUUCAUGGAUCGAUCGAGGUUCUCUUAUGGCCUAACACGUUAUUUGAGAAUUGUGUACACUUGUUAGUUGUUUCGGUGGGUUGAUCUCCAUCGGGCACUAAUUCAUGUAAGAGGCGUUAUAAGGGUGCUUGGCUGGAUGUGUUCCGGAGCAUGUAUCAUGUAAGGCCUGCCUGGGUAGCGUCCCGAGGUCAAUUCAACUUGUCUGAGUUACGUCCUCAGGGCAAGUGCAAUGGGAGAAAUGGAUCCGUCGGUGGCUAAAAGGUCCGGGAUCACAGCGAGUAACGGAAAGGGAGUGUGACAUGUGCGCACAAAUGAAAGAAAAUGUUUUAACAUGCUUAGAAGUACUUCUUUCAAUUUAAAACCUUCUAAGUCAUGUCAAGUAUGAUUGGAUAAACUGUCUUUAUUAAAAUAUGAGAUGUUUCAGAAAAUGCAUGCCCACUAAGUACAUUAGUACUUAGCCCAAAAUACUUUCAAAUGUUUCAGGUUGGCUGGCCGGUGCUGACGGGACGGAGCUGAGGCUAGAGUUAAAUUCCUAUGUUAGACUUCCGCUGUAGCAAUUUCUCAUAUCAGUCUUUUGUUUUCCCAACUUAAGAUCUUCAUGUUAAAUUUCAAAUGAUAUACCUGACCGAGCUUAGACUCUUCACUACUAAAUUUAUGCCAAUGAAUGUCGGUUGUCAGAAGCAUGAAACAAAACUUGUGAUCCAAAGGGGCAUAGCCCGACUUUC